AGUCACUGACAUUAGAUACCCGGGUAGUCCAGGGUGUAAACUAUGCGCGUUAGGUGUAUCGGUGACCACGAGUUACCGAGGUGCCGAAGGGAAACCGUGAAACGUGCCGCCUGGGAAGUACGGUCGCAAGGCGUGAAACUUAAAGGAAUUGGCGGGGAGCACCACAACAGGUGGAGCCUGCGGUUUAAUUGGACUCAACGCCGGGAAGCUCACCGGAUAGGACAGCAGAAUGAUUGCCGGGCUGAAGACCCUGCAUGACUAGCUG
rnacentral:rRNA from 1 species